GAUGAACGCUGGCGGCGUGCCUAACACAUGCAAGUCGAACGAGCGGCGGACGGGUGAGUAAUGUCUGGGAAACUGCCCGAUGGAGGGGGAUAACUACUGGAAACGGUAUCUACUACCGCCUACUAUCGGAUGGGCCCAUAUGGGAUUAGCUAGUAGGUGGGGUAACGGCUCACCUAGGCGACGAUCCCUAGCGGGUCUGCGAGGAUGACCAGCCACACUGGAACUGAGACACGGUCCAGACUCCUACGGGAGGAAGCAGUGGGGAAUAUGGCACAAGGGGCGCAAGCCUGAUGCAGUCAUGCCGCGUGUAUGAAGAAGGCCUUAGGGUUGUAAAGUACUGUCAGCGGGGAGGCGUUACUCGCAGAAGAAGCACCGGCUAACUCCGUGCCAGCAGCCGCGGUAAUAC
rnacentral:rRNA from 1 species